rnacentral:rRNA from 1 species
UACGUAGGUGGCAAGCGUUGUCCGGAUUUACUGGGCGUAAAGAGCGCGCAGGCGGUCGUUCAAGUCGCGUGUGAAAGCCCCCGGCUCAACUGGGGAGGGUCACGCGAUACUGAUCGACUCGAAGGCAGGAGAGGGAAGUGGAAUUCCCGGUGUAGUGGUGAAAUGCGUAGAUAUCGGGAGGAACACCAGUGGCGAAGGCGACUUCCUGGCCUGUUCUGACGCUGAGGCGCGAAAGCUAGGGGAGCAAACGGG